CAACAUUGUUCUCCGACUAAAUCCAAAACUCAGCAUUGUGCCAACUACUAGGAAGAAAAUUAACUCUAUUCCAGCUGAAACCAGGAUAACAGUGGUGUUCACGACUAAAUCUUGCAGCCAGCACAUGGAUUAAUUCAAGGUGAAAUCUUUAGCAGUACAAAAUACAGACUGUAUUUGCAGCUAGAUAUGUUUAAAGAGUAAUAUGAAAAAUAUUUUUAGCUCCCAAGCAUCUUUGCUGAGAAAGCCGCAGGAAACUUGCUGAAUCUGCAGCUCCAGGAUAACAACUUUGCAGCUUGGCAUUCAUAUAUUCUAGGACUAGCCAGGACCAGAGAAAAAGCAAAUGAGAGCUUCCUUCAGAGAUGAUGAACACUUGUGCCUUUCUGCAGGAGAAUGGUCAGGAAUGCCCGGAAUUCAAAAGAUGAGACAUCUAUGGCAGCAAGAGCCUGGGAAGCAAACGAACUGUGCUUCACAUCACUCCAGUAAUUCAGUAUUCACAGCAGACUGAGAUCC